GCCCCGUGAGUGCUGGCAGGGCUGUGAAGCAGGUGUGACUAAUGGGUCAGCUCCCCGCUGGGACUGUGACCCUGAAGCUAACAAACCUAAGGGCAAGGCCAGGCGCAGCAGCUUUCUGAGUCUCUUCUGAAGUGGCUUGAAGUCGAUACUGUGUGUGUAUCUCAGCCAGACAGUCAAAAGGAGAGCAACUUAGCAGAAGAUUUUGGUCUAGCUGAGGAUUCAGAUCACUGAAGAACUUAAGUUUAGGCUGUUAAACAAAAUUAUGGGAGCCCGUUAUUUUGGACUGAACUCCUGUACUAGGCCCCAACAGACGAGACCAAACCAAAAUGGAGUCAUUCAUGCUAAAUGCCUCAUCAUCAAAUAGAAGCUUUAAGGAAGCAGAUAGAUCCAACAUAGACUAGUUUUUCUUGAGAACAGAAGAUUCCAGUCUACCUGUGUCAGUGCAAUAAGGAAGUCCUCUCUGCUUUAAUUUUUACACAAAAAGUAACCUCAUGUUAGCCAAUCCGACUUAAAAAAUUUUU
rnacentral:lncRNA from 1 species